GUGAAUCAUCAAAUUUUUGAACGCAAAUUGCACUCUCUGGCAUUCCGGAGAGUAUGCCUGUUUGAGGGUCAGUUUAAAUAAAAAUCGAGGUGUUGCUGUUUUGUGACCCGUCGGAGAUUGGGUUAUCUUAAACCUUUUUUUUUUUUGGUUUAAGCGACUUAAAAUUUUUCUUCACGAUUCCAUGGACGUUUCUAAGAUUUUUAUUUCUUAUACGUUUAAGGUUUAUCGAUCUUUUAUUAGACGUGACCGUCGCAUCGGAUCGCGUCCAUAAUGUUGACUUUCGUUAACUGACCUCAGACAG
rnacentral:misc_RNA from 1 species